rnacentral:pre_miRNA from 1 species
AACACCGGGUGAUUUUGUUAAAAUGCAGAUUCUGAUUUGGGAGAUCUGGGAUGGGGCCUGAUUCUGCAUUUCUAACAAGCUCCCAGGUGGUGCUCA